rnacentral:rRNA from 1 species
UACGUAGGGGGCAAGCGUUGUCCGGAAUCAUUGGGCGUAAAGCGCGUGUAGGCGGUCCGGUAAGUCCGCUGUAAAAGUCGGGGGCUCAACCCUCGGAUGCCGGUGGAUACUGUCGGGCUUGAGUACGGAAGAGGCGAGUGGAAUUCCUGGUGUAGCGGUGAAAUGCGCAAAUAUCAGGAGGAACACCAAUUGCGAAGGCAGCUCGCUGGGACGUUACUGACGCUGAGACGCGAAAGCGUGGGGAGCAAACAGG